AUAUGAUGCUAGAGUAUAAGGGAGUUUCACCUAAUAGUUACAAACUUAUAUUCACAAGUAGUGGAGGUCACUUAUAAACGAUUACGUUAAAUAAAUUCUUGGCAGGAGUUUCAUGCUCAUCAUAGUAACAAAUGCCUCGUCAAUACUUAUAGUUUUCAUAAUGCUUAAUGAUCUUUGAUUGUAUCUUUAUUGUGCUAUUCACAUAAAGAACUUUUGAAGAAUGUUGAAUUGUUGUAUGCGUUUUCCCAUCCAAUUCAAUAACUUAAGGAGAAUUUGAAGGUUAAUUUAAGCGGACUUAAUUAACCUGGGGUGUUGAGUUUCAUGAUUGAUCGAAAGAGCAACUAAAAAUUGGUUUAU
rnacentral:lncRNA from 1 species